rnacentral:rRNA from 1 species
UACGUAGGGAGCAAGCGUUGUCCGGAAUCAUUGGGCGUAAAGCGCGCGUAGGCGGCCCUGUAAGUCCGUUGUGAAAGUCAAAGGCUCAACCUUUGAAAGCCGAUGGAUACUGCAGGGCUAGAGUCCGGAAGAGGCGAGUGGAAUUCCUGGUGUAGCGGUGGAAUGCGUUGAUAUCAGGAGGAACACCCAUGGCGAAGGCAGCAUACUGGCCGGCAUCUGACGCUGAGGCGCGAAAGCGUGGGUAGCAAACAGG